AGCACAUGGGUUAAAGUAAACUACUGACGUUGGGUCUGUUUUGUAUCCCUUCAAGAUGCUCUAAAUGAGAUUGUAGUUUUAUUUUGUUUUUAUUUUUUAUUUUUUUUAAAGAUUUUAUUUAUUUAUUCAUGAGAGGCACAGAAAGAGAGAGAAGCAGAGACAUAGGUGGAAGGAGAAGCAGGCUCCAUGCAGGGAGCCUGAUGUGGGACUUGAUCCUGGGACUCCAGUAUCACACCCUGGGCCAAAGGCAGGCGCCAUACCGCUGAGUCACCAGGCAUCCCAUAUUUUGUUUUGUUUUUAAAUGAUGCCUCAUUCAAAAAACCUGAGAGUCCUCUCAAAAUGCUCCAAAGGCUGACCAAUGGAAGAGUGGCCUCUGUAAAUCUGAAGAAUAAGUCAUUUUCAAAGAAAUCAGUUCUGUUAAAAGCCAUCUGUCCCAGAAGGCCCAUCCCUCUUGGAGGGAGAACAUGAAAUUCUCCAGAUUCUAAGAGAAUGUCAGUGGGGAUUCAGAUGAUGUCAUUCAGGUUCUGUGAUGGAUUGUCUUAAGGAUGAAGUUAUUACCCAAGAGCAGGAAUAAGAAAGUAGAAUAGAUAAACCUGAGAGUACUCGUCUAACAGGUGGCACUGUCUUUGUCUUUUUUUUUUUUUUUCACCAUAAGCACCACAUGGGAUGUGGAGCUGGUGUAGGACUGUCCUUUCAUGAGAUGCGGUUCAGAUCCACUCUUGGGAACAAACUCCUCUAAGUGGAGACGAAGCUUAGAAGGAACGCGCGACCUUGGAGAGUAUGUCAAGUUCUCAUCCUUGUCCACCAGGGGGCGCGCAAAUCCCAGGAGGAGCUGCCCUCCAAGAGCCCUUAGGUGGCUUUGAUCCCCGGGAGGAGGAUGGACGCGGGGGCUGCAGGUUCCAGAACCGACUCUGGGUGUCAUCUUCCUGCAGAGACCCUGAGCACCCACCCCUGCGCCAGUCAGCCAUGGGCAGGGGUCUUGUGUCACCUAACGCAGUGGUGGCUGCUGAGUCGCACCCCAGAGAAGCGGACUCCAGUUCCCUUAUUCUGAUCUCUCCUCCAACAAGGACCACUUGCGCUGUCCGUUUGCACUGUGGCAUCAACUCCUGA
rnacentral:lncRNA from 12 species